rnacentral:rRNA from 1 species
GGAGGAAAGCAGGGGAUCGCAAGACCUCUCACUAUUGGAGCGGCCGAAGCCUGAUUAGCUAGUUGGUGGGGUAAAAGCCUACCAAGGCGACGAUCAGUAGCUGGUUUGAGAGAACGACCAGCCACACUGGGACUGAGACACGGCCCAGACUCCUACGGGAGGCAGCAGUGGGGAAUUUUGGACAAUGGGGGCAACCCUGAUCCAGCCAUGCCGCGUGCGGGAAGAAGGCCUUCGGGUUGUAAACCGCUUUUGUUCGGGAAGAAAUCGACUCCGCUAAUACCGGGGUUGGAUGACGGUACCGGAAGAAUAAGCACCGGCUAACUACGUGCCAGCAGCCGCGGUAAUACGUAGGGUGCAAGCGUUAAUCGGAAUUACUGGGCGUAAAGCGUGCGCAGGCGGUUUCGCAAGUCAGAUGUGAAAGCCCCGGGCUUAACCUGGGAACUGCGUUUGAAACUACAAAGCUAG